AGCAAUAGAAAGGCUUAUAUGGGCGGUCUCGGCUAACCUCUCGGUAAGGGAGGUGAUGCUCCGUGGAAGUAUACCAAGCUUUGACGCUGAUGAUUUCAUUCGCGACACUGGUUGCGUUGAUACUCACCAAUAAACGGAAAUAGACCGCCCCAGGCUAAGGAAGCGGUCUAUUCUGCUACUCCGAUUGUCUACAGCCGAACCGCCCUUAAAAGCGGCUAUUGCUCGGAGAGUCGUGUUCCCGCACGGCUC
rnacentral:sRNA from 1 species